UUCCAGACCCCUACGGGAGGCAGCAGUGGGGAAUAUUGCACAAUGGGGGAAACCCUGAUGCAGCGACGCCGCGUGAGUGAAGAAGUAUUUCGGUAUGUAAAGCUCUAUCAGCAGGGAAGAAAAUGACGGUACCUGAUUAAGAAGCCCCGGCUAACUACGUGCCAGCAGCCGCGGUAAUACGUAGGGGGCAAGCGUUAUCCGGAUUUACUGGGUGUAAAGGGAGCGUAGACGGUGAUGCAAGUCAGAAGUGAAAGCCCGGGGCUCAACUCCGGGACUGCUUUUGAAACUGUGUGACUGGAGUGCAGGAGAGGUAAGCGGAAUUCCUGGUGUAGCGGUGAAAUGCGUAGAUAUCAGGAGGAACACCAGUGGCGAAGGCGGCUUACUGGACUGUAACUGACGUUGAGGCUCGAAAGCGUGGGGAGCAAACAGGAUUAGUACCCCCGUA
rnacentral:rRNA from 1 species